rnacentral:rRNA from 1 species
GACGAACGCUGGCGGCGUGCUUAACACAUGCAAGUCGAACGGUAAGGCCCUGCUUUUGUGGGGUGCUCGAGUGGCGAACGGGUGAGUAACACGUGAGUAACCUGCCCUUGACUUUGGGAUAACUUCAGGAAACUGGGGCUAAUACCGGAUAGGAGCUCCUGCUGCAUGGUGGGGGUUGGAAAGUUUCGGCGGUUGGGGAUGGACUCGCGGCUUAUCAGCUUGUUGGUGGGGUAGUGGCUUACCAAGGCUUUGACGGGUAGCCGGCCUGAGAGGGUGACCGGCCACAUUGGGACUGAGAUACGGCCCAGACUCCUACGGGAGGCAGCAGUGGGGAAUAUUGAACAAUGGGCGGAAGCCUGAUGCAGCAACGCCGCGUGCGGGAUGACGGCCUUCGGGUUGUAAACCGCUUUCGCCUGUGACGAAGCGUGAGUGACGGUAAUGGGUAAAGAAGCACCGGCUAACUACGUG